UGUCAAGGGAUGGGAAUCGAACCCACGACCUUCCGCUUACCGGGCAGAUGCGAUGACCACUAGGCUACCCUGGAC
rnacentral:tRNA from 1 species